UUCCAGCUCCAAUAGCGUAUAUUAAAGUUGUUGCAGUUAAAAAGCUCGUAGUUGAACCUCGGGCUCGGUUUGGAGGUCUCCCUAAUGGGUAGUACUUUUGAAGCGGGUCUUUCCUUCUGGCUAACCAGUGUGCUAUUAAUUUGGUGCGCUGGGGAACCAGGACUUUUACUUUGAAAAAAUUAGAGUGUUUAAAGCAGGCCUUCGCUUGAAUACAUUAGCAUGGAAUAAUAAAAUAGGACUUUGGUUUUAUUUUGUUGGUUUCUAAGACCGAAGUAAUGAUUAAUAGGGAUAGUUGGGGGCAUUUGUAUUUAGUCGUCAGAGGUGAAAUUCUUGGAUUGACUAAAGACAAACUUCUGCGAAAGCAUUUGCCAAGGAUGUUUUCAUUAAUCAAGAACGAAAGUUAGGGGAUCGAAGACGAUCAGAUACCGUCGUAGUCUUAACCAUAAACUAUGCCGACUAGGGAUCGGACGUUGUUCAAUAUAGACGCGUUCGGCACCUUAUGAGAAAUCAAAGUUUUUAGGUUCCGGGGGGAGUAUGGUCGCAAGGCUGAAACUUAAAGGAAUUGACGGAAGGGCACCACAAGGAGUGGAGCCUGCGGCUUAAUUUGACUCAACACGGGGAAACUCACCAGGUCCAGACAUAAUAAGGAUUGACAGAUUGAUAGCUCUUUCUUGAUUUUAUGGGUGGUGGUGCAUGGCCGUUCUUAGUUGGUGGAGUGAUUUGUCUGGUUAAUUCCGUUAACGAACGAGACCUUAACCUGCUAAAUAGUUGGGCCAACUCUGGUUGGUGAUCAACUUCUUAGAGGGACUAUAGACGUUUAGUCCAUGGAAGUUUGAGGCAAUAACAGGUCUGUGAUGCCCUUAGAUGUUCUGGGCCGCACGCGCGCUACACUGAUAAAGGCAACAAGUAAUUCACCUUGGCCGGAAGGUCUGGGUAAUCUUUUGAAACUUUAUCGUGCUGGGGAUAGUCCUUUGCAAUUAUUGGACUUUAACGAGGAAUUCCUAGUAAGCGUGAGUCAUCAGCUCGCGUUGAUUACGUCCCUGCCCUU
rnacentral:rRNA from 1 species